AACGAACGCUGGCGGCAUGCCUAACACAUGCAAGUCGAACGGGAUCCUAGCUUGCUAGGUGAGAGUGGCGGACGGGUGAGUAACACGUGGGAAUCUGCCUUUUGGUUCGGGAUAACCGCGGGAAACUGCGGCUAAUACCGAAUGCCCUCGAGAGAGGAAAGAUUUAUCGCCAGAAGAGGAGCCCGCGUCCGAUUAGGUAGUUGGUGGGGUAAAGGCCUACCAAGCCGACGAUCGGUAGCUGGUCUGAGAGGAUGAUCAGCCACACUGGGACUGAGAUACGGCCCAGACUCCUACGGGAGGCAGCAGUGGGGAAUAUUGGACAAUGGGGGCAACCCUGAUCCAGCAAUGCCGCGUGAGUGAUGAAGGCCUUAGGGUUGUAAAGCUCUUUUACCCGGGAUGAUAAUGACAGUACCGGGAGAAUAAGCUCCGGCUAACUCCGUGCCAGCAGCCGCGGUAAU
rnacentral:rRNA from 1 species